rnacentral:sRNA from 6 species
UAUUCUGCCCCACGGGGAAGGAUGAGAAGCUUCGACUAAGGUUCGACUCGAGCGAAGCGAGAGAACGUUGCCGCAGGCAACGGCCCGAAGGGCGAAGCGCUUUAGCGCCGAGUAAUCCUUCCCCCACCACUG